rnacentral:rRNA from 1 species
AGAGUUUGAUCCUGGCUCAGGACGAACGCUGGCGGCGUGCCUAAUACAUGCAAGUCGAGCGGACGUUUUUGAAGCUUGCUUCAAAAACGUUAGCGGCGGACGGGUGAGUAACACGUGGGCAACCUACCUUAUCGACUGGGAUAACUCCGGGAAACCGGGGCUAAUACCGGAUAACAUCUAGCACCUCCUGGUGCCGGAUUAAAAGAGGGCUUCUUGCUCUCACGAUGAGAUGGGCCCGCGGCGCAUUAGCUAGUUGGAGAGGUAACGGCUCCCCAAGGCGACGAUGCGUAGCCGACCUGAGAGGGUGAUCGGCCACACUGGGACUGAGACACGGCCCAGACUCCUACGGGAGGCAGCAGUAGGGAAUCUUCCGCAAUGGACGAAAGUCUGACGGAGCAACGCCGCGUGAGUGAUGAAGGGUUUCGGCUCGUAAAGCUCUGUUAUGAGGGAAGAACACGUACCGUUCGAAUAGGGCGGUACCUUGACGGUACCUCAUCAGAAAGCCACGGCUAACUACGUGCCAGCAGCCGCGGUAAUACGUAGGUGGCAAGCGUUGUCCGGAAUUAUUGGGCGUAAAGCGCGCGCAGGCGGCCUUUUAAGUCUGAUGUGAAAUCUUGCGGCUCAACCGCAAGCGGCCAUUGGAAACUGGGAGGCUUGAGUACAGAAGAGGAGAGUGGAAUUCCACGUGUAGCGGUGAAAUGCGUAGAUAUGUGGAGGAACACCAGUGGCGAAGGCGACUCUCUGGUCUGUAACUGACGCU